UCAAGCUACAAAGGGCGCAUGGUGAAUGCCUUGGCAUCAGGAGCCGAUGAAGGACGUGAUAAGCUGCGAUAAGCUUCGGGUAGGCGCACAUAGCCUGAGAUCCGAAGAUCUCCGAAUGAGGAAACUCACAUGGGAAACCCCAUGUAUCAUUAAGUGAAUACAUAGCUUAAUGAAGGUAACCCAGGGAACUGAAACAUCUAAGUACCUGGAGGAAGAGAAAGAAAAAUCGAUUUUCUUAGUAGCGGCGAGCGAAAGGGAAAGAGCCCAAACCGGAAACUUGUUUCCGGGGUUGUGGACAUAGCAUGAAAGUGGAGGCUAUUGUAACUGAAGAGAACUGGAAAGUUCCACCGUAGAAGGUAAUAGUCCUGUAAGUGAAACGAGAAGACCACGAGUUAUGAUCCAGAGUACCACGAGACACGUGAAACCUUGUGGGAAGCAGGGAGGACCACCUCCCAAGGCUAAAUACUACCUGAUGACCGAUAGUGAAGCAGUACCGUGAGGGAAAGGUGAAAAGAACCCCGGGAGGGGAGUGAAAUAGAACCUGAAACCGUGUGCCUACAACCGCUCAGAGCCCCUUAUGAGGGUGAUGAGGUGCUUUUUGUAGAACGAGCCAACGAGUUACGGUAUGUAGCAAGGUUAAGUACUUAAGGUACGGAGCCGAAGGGAAACCGAGUCUGAAUAGGGCGACUAGUUGCAUGCCGUAGACCCGAAACCGGGUGACCUAUCCAUGGCCAGGUUGAAGCGAGGGUAAAACCUCGUGGAGGACCGAACCACGUUGCUGUUGAAAAAGCAUGGGAUGAGCUGUGGAUAGCGGAGAAAUUCCAAUCGAACCCGGAGAUAGCUGGUUCUCUCCGAAAUAGCUUUAGGGCUAGCGUCGAGUAUGAGUAGUGGAGGUAGAGCACUGAAUGGGCUAGGGGGCAUAGCGCUUACCGAACCUUAUCAAACUCCGAAUGCCACAUACUUUGAGCUCGGCAGUCAGACUACGAAUGAUAAGAUCCGUGGUCAAAAGGGAAACAGCCCAGAUCGUCAGCUAAGGUCCCAAAGUGUAAGUUAAGUGGGAAAGGAUGUGAGAUUUCUAAGACAACUAGGAUGUUGGCUUAGAAGCAGCCAUUCAUUAAAAGAGUGCGUAAUAGCUCACUAGUCGAGAGAUCUUGCGCCGAAAAUGUAACGGGGCUAAACUUACCACCGAAGCUACGGGCUUGAACUUAGUUCAAGCGGUAGGAGAGCGUCGUAACCGGGCUGAAGUCGUACCGUAAGGAGCGGUGGACUGGUUACGAGUGAGAAUGUUGGCAUCAGUAGCGAGAUGUGGGUGAGAAUCCCACAGGCCGAAAACCUAAGGUUUCCUCAGGAAGGUUCGUCCGCUGAGGGUUAGUCGGGACCUAAGCCGAGGCCGAAAGGCGUAGGUGAUGGACAACUGGUUGAUAUUCCAGUACCACUACCAUCGUUAUUAUCGAUGGCGUGACGCAGGAGGAUAGUGUGUGCUAGCUAUUGGAUGCUAGUCUAAGCGUUUAGGCAGUGAGAGUAGGCAAAUCCGCUCUCAUAAUGCUGAGGCGUGAUGGGGAAGGUUCUACGGAACCGAAGUACAUGAUUCCACGCUGCCAAGAAAAGCGUCUAGAGAGAGAAGUAGUGCCCGUACCGCAAACCGACACAGGUAGGUGAGGAGAGAAUCCUAAGGCCGGCGGAAGAAUUACAGUUAAGGAACUCGGCAAAUUGACCCCGUAAGUUCGCGAGAAGGGGUGCCUACGAGAGUAGGCCGCAGAGAAUAGGCCCAAGCAACUGUUUAGCAAAAACACAGGUCUCUGCUAAAGCGUAAGCUGAUGUAUAGGGGCUGACGCCUGCCCGGUGCUGGAAGGUUAAGGGGAACACUUAGCGCAAGCGAAGGUGUGAACUUAAGCCCCAGUAAACGGCGGCCGUAACUAUAACGGUCCUAAGGUAGCGAAAUUCCUUGUC
rnacentral:rRNA from 1 species